UGAUGUGAGGGUGAUCUGGCUGCGACAUCUAUCACCCCAGUGAUCGCCAGGGUUGAUUUGGCUGAUCUGGCUGGCUAGGCGGGUGUCCCCUUCCUCCCCCACCGUUCCAUGUGCGUCCCUCCUGAAGCUGCGCGCUCGGUUGAAGAGGACGGCCUUCCCCAAAUAGAAAGGGAGAGACCUGCAGGCCUG
rnacentral:snRNA from 1 species